AAAACUUGCGGAGGCAGAUCACCCCUGACAGUUCACACUCGGCUAGCUCGUUCGGAAGCACCGCGCGGCGCAUUCUGGUCCUAAAAAGUCAGUUUGAAACUUGAUAGCGCUGGAGAUCGAUCCAGUUUCAAAGGUCGCAAAACGGUUGUCCCCUUUCCAACAAGCAUUCACGAAUCUUUUAUCGCUAAUCUCCCAUAAAUCUGACUUUUAGAAAGAAAGUUACGUACGACGAUAAUUUUUCGACGUUUUUCACCAGUAAAACGUUGCCGUUGUUUCAUGAAAAUCAGCUGAAAUACGAAACACGGAUAUCGAGUUUUCCCCGAUAGAAUAGAAUUCCCCGAGGUCGUAAAUCGGCAAUAACGAUGGUCGAGGCUGGUUUCAGGGAAUCUCAAAAAUCUACCGGAACUCUCUUAGCCUUUUCGAAAAUCGCACCUGUGAAAACUUGACUCGACAGGAGUACCUGGUUUAUGUUAGUUAUUCGACGUGGGCCUAUUGUUGAAACUUUCCUUUAUUUAUCAUUAAAAAAAAAAAAAUUCCCUCAUAUAUUCCCUGGAUCGGAAGAAUAAAUAAUAUUCUUUGAAGUUAGUUAAAAGAAGAUUGUAAGAAAAAAAAUGAAAGGCGAAAAGCAAAAGAAAAGAAAAAAAAAAGAAGAAGAAGAAAAAGAAGAAAGAAAAAACAAAAGAAUAAAACGAGGUUAAAGUAUCAAUUGACGAUACGACUUAAUUUCGUAAUAUCGGUUGUACAUUUAAACAGGUGUACAUAUGUACAUAUGUACGUACGAACGUGCUAAUCGUUAUGGGAAGAAACUUCGACGAAGGAAGACGUUCGUAUUUUUAGCAACGUAUUUACAUUCUUGCCUUCUCAAGGGCGAGCCUCCGUUCGUGCUUCUGCCCGGAAACACGAUAUUCUGCUAGCGAGUAAGAAGGCCCGAGUUCGAGAUCGGCCAUCGGAGCAGCGUGAGGACCGUGGACGUUCAAAGAGAGUUGAUUCAAGAGAAUAAAUCCCACAGGAUUACAUCCCUUUUCGGUGCCGAAGGGAACUAUCUGACAGUAAAUCUUGACGAGCUUGCAGAAGAAAAGAGACAGCAGUAAUAGUAGCUGACAGUCGUAGUAGUAGUAGUAGUAGUAAUAGUAGUAGAGAGAACAAGAGAGAUAGAGCGUGGAUUGGUUGAUGGAUUAUUCGAAACGCAUCUUUGACAUUACCGUAAAGACAUGGCCAAACGUGGACAGACGUGGCAAUGGAUCGUAGAGAGACAGAAAACGUUUCUUUCUAUUCGGUCCUCCUUCGCCAUCUUUUUUUUCUUCUUGUCUUUCUCCUUUAUUAUUGUUCAAUGUGCCAGAGGAAAAACUUAAAUCUUUCUCUAUAAACUUUCUCUUUUUCUUUUGCAAUAAUUUAAAUUUCUUAAACGAAUUAAAUCAAUGUGAUUAAUAGGAAGAAGGAAUUAAUUAUAGGCAUUAAUGAAAAUGAGAUAAAUACAGAUGAUGUAUGGAUCAUUUUUCAUAUAUCUUUAUAUCCUUUGAGGAAUUUAAUUUUUUUCGUUCGGAGAUCUUUUAAACGAAUCUUUUUAUUUGGCUUUAAUAACGAAGGCAAGGCUUUUCGAAUAAACGUUUAUGCGUAUACGGGUAACCAAUCGAUUUUAUUACUCUUGAUUUCUUAUGAAACUCGAUCACGGUGAGAAACAAACGACGUCAGACGGUCGAUUUAGCAAAGAUCGUAUAAAUAAAAUCCUCAAUGGAAUUUCUAGUGGGAGAGUUUCCUUUCAAAUUUUCUCAAUAUGAAAAGAUACGAUUACGAUGAAGCUUUGUGCAUAUUUAUUGUUAAAUUUAAUUAUACGCGAUAUUAUAACUUUCAAUGGGAAUUCUCGAAGGGUUACAAAAAUAUGAUUAUCCCAAUGGUUCAGCUAAAAUACGAUGUUAGAAAUUAGUUUUAGAUAUUUAUGUCGACUCGCAAUCUUACUGACAGGGAUAAAUAUGUUGGUCCAUUAAAAAGACGAUGAAUAGGGAAAGAUAGAAACGAAGGAGGUAGCUAAGUUGAUUCGAGCAUGCGCGUCUCCACGCCCUUCUCUAUCUCCGUGUUCCUCUUAUCCGUCACUACCGUGCGAAUAACCGGAUGGUGGAUGACCGCGAACGCAAGGUCAACCAGCGUCUAUCUUCGUUGGAAGAAAAUUUGUCGUUUCUAAUGUCAUUGGACACGUUCACAUUUCUAUCCUGAGAUUUCUCCUCUUCUUUUUUUUUUCUUUUUAUAAAUCCAAUUCCAAAUAAAAAUUUCUAUAUUUCCAACGAAAUACCGUAUUUAUCAGAUAACUUUAUAAUUUUAUUCUUAUACAAAUCGAUGAAAACAAUGAUUACGAUAAAAAGCCAUCAAUUCUAUAAAUGUCAAAUCUUUAAUUUUUGAAAAUACUUACGUAGGUCCAGAUUAUGA